CAAUAGCGUAUAUUAAAGUUGUUGCAGUUAAAAAGCUCGUAGUUGGAUUUCUGGUGGGAGCGAUCGGUCUGGCGCUUAGCGCGAGUACUUGCAUCGUCUCCGGCCAUCCUUGGGGAGAGUCUGUCUGGCAUUAGGUUGUCGGGCAGAGGAUCCUCAUCGUUUACUGUGAAAAAAUUAGAGUGUUCAAAGCAGGCUUAUGCCGUUGAAUAUAUUAGCAUGGAAUAAUAAGAUAGGACUUUGGUACUAUUUUGUUGGUUUGCGCACCAAAGUAAUGAUUAAUAGGGACAGUUGGGGGUAUUCGUAUUCCGUUGUCAGAGGUGAAAUUCUUGGAUUUAUGGAAGACGAACUACUGCGAAAGCAUUUACCAAGGAUGUUUUCAUUAA
rnacentral:rRNA from 1 species